GGGCCUGUGGCUCAAAGGAGUAGGGUGCCGGCCUCAUAUGCCAGAGGGUAGCUGGUUCAAACCUAGCCCCGCCCA
rnacentral:tRNA from 1 species